UACAGAGGUGGCAAGCGUUGUUCGGAAUUACUGGGCGUAAAGGGCGCGUAGGCGGUCUUUUAAGUUCCGUGUGAAAUCCCUCGGCUCAACUGGGGAACGGCACGGGAAACUGGAAGGCUUGAGUUCGGGAGAGGGAAGCGGAAUUCCGGGUGUAGCGGUGAAAUGCGUAGAUAUCCGGAGGAACACCGGUGGCGAAGGCGGCUUCCUGGACCGACACUGACGCUGAGGCGCGAAAGCUAGGGGAGCAAGCGGG
rnacentral:rRNA from 1 species